rnacentral:lncRNA from 10 species
CAUCUCCUCUUGCCGUAAGGACAGUCAGACUGGGUUAGGGCUCGCCCUAAAGACCUCCUUCUUAGUUAGUUAUCUCUUUACAGACCUUGUCUCCAAAUACAGCCACGUUUUGAGGUCCUGGGGUUAGGACUUCGGCAGGAACUUGGAGACGCAACUCAGACCGAAGCCAGCCCCAGCUGAGCACAGAGCUCGUGACAUGAUGCGCCAUGCUGCCCUGAGGUUCCCAACCGGGUCUCUGCUGAGCUCCAGGGCCAGGACACUCAGUAUCACUGCCUUCCACCUUCGCAUCUUGUUCCACCAGAAGAUCUUCUGGGUAAUCACACGCAUGGAGCUGCCAGCGCCUGUGAGAACAAUGCUUUCUUCUGGAAGACUUCCCGAAGGACCUGCCCUAAGCUGUUUUACAGUUUACUUUUUUUAUCUUCUGCCUUGAUUCCCAGUGUCCAAAUACAAAAGUAUUGACUACUGUCCCUGAUGUGACGAGCAGGAUCUAUUGAAGCCGAACACAUCAUCUUUCAGUUCCAGGUAGGAGUGCAGUAAGAAGAGUUUUCUUACAGGCAUGAUCGCUGUGAUGGAUAAGUGUGUCUUGGACUCUAAUGAAUGAACCAGCGACUUAGUCACCAGCCGCCUACACUAAUAAGGUGAGGGUGUGAUGCUGGUUUGGGCAGGGAAGGUCUUUGGUCUCUUUAUAGAUUUUAGAAUGCUAAAAUAAAAUGACCUGUGGGAUCCUGAAACCAAAAGAGGACAUCAGUGGGAAAACACAUGGAAUCGGGGGUCUGUUCCUAGAGAUGCUUCACGGAACUCUAGACCAUGUUAAUGUUUGUUUUGAACCACAUGUCUUGGGUAACACUGGGGGAUGUUGGAUUGGGGGGAUACGGGAUCUCUCUGUACUGUCUUUGCAACUUUUUCCGUAAAUCUAAGAUGAUCCACAAAUAAAAGCUUUAUUGAAAAAUAU